rnacentral:rRNA from 1 species
UAAAACCAGCUCUUCGAGUGGUAGGGAUGAUUAUUUGGGCUAAAGCGUCCGUAGCCGGACUCGUAAGUCCACGGUUAAAUGUCAGGUCUCAAAUCUGUACACUGCCGUGGAUACUGUGGGUCUAGGAACCGGGAGAGGUGAAAGGUACUCCAGGGGUAGAGGUGAAAUUCGUUCAUCCUUGGGGGACCACCUAUGGCGAAGGCAUUUCACUGGAACGGGUUCGACGGUGAGGGACGAAAGCCAGGGGAGCGAGCCGGAUUAGAUACCCGGGUAGUCCUGGCCGUAAACGAUGCGUGCUAAGUGUCAGGGUACAUGCGGAGUAUCCUGGUGCCGAAGGGAAGCCGUUAAGCACGCCCCCAGGGGAGUACGCUCGCAAGGGUG